rnacentral:rRNA from 1 species
AACGAACGCUGGCGGCAUGCCUAACACAUGCAAGUCGAACGAGAUCUUCGGAUCUAGUGGCGCACGGGUGCGUAACGCGUCGGAAUCUGCCCCUUGCUUCGGAAUACCAGUGAGAAAUUACUGCUAAUACCGGAUGAUGUCUUCGGACCAAAGAUUUAUCGGCCAGGGAUGAGCCCGCGUAGGAUUAGGUAGUUGGUGGGGUAAUGGCCUACCAAGCCGACGAUCCUUAGCUGGUCUGAGAGGAUGAUCAGCGACACUGGGACUGAGACACGGCCCAGACUCCUACGGGAGGCAGCAGUGGGGAAUAUUGGACAAUGGGCGAAAGCCUGAUCCAGCAAUGCCGCGUGAGUGAUGAAGGCCUUAGGGUUGUAAAGCUCGUUUACCAGGGAUGAUAAUGACAGUACCUGGAGAAUAAGCUCCGGCUAACUCCGUG